rnacentral:rRNA from 1 species
CCCGUGCUACGUCGCGGCUAGCCUAAAAAACGUUCCCUCGUCGCAGACGUCGCGACAAGUGGUGGUCGUCGAGAUUGAACGCGAGUUGUUGCAAGGCCGCGUCGAGGAGAGCGCUUUGACCCUGUGCAUGUGAGUCCCUCGCUGAGGGACGAUCGGCACGACCAGCGACCCCAGGUCAGGCGGGGAUACCCGCUGAGUUUAAGCAUAUCACUAAGC